CACACCGCGGUCCGGCCGGGCGCUGUGAUGGCGAUGCGGGGACGCGGGCGGCGGAGCCGCGGUCGGGGCCGUGGGGCGGUCGGGGCCGCGCGUGAUGGCGGCGCGGAGCUGCAGGAGGAGGAGCAGCAGGAGCCGCCCCGCGUUUGUCACAGGGUGACUCGGUUCUGCCCGCAGUGCGGCGGCGGCGUGGAGCCCACCUUCAGGUUCUGCCCGGCCUGCGGCGACAGACUGCCGGCACCGCCGCCACCGAGGGACGCGGCCGGCCCGCCACCACCGCAGGCCCCGAGCCCCGCGGCCGCCGCCGGGGAUGAGCGGAGCGCGGCCGUGCCGGUGCUCUCCCCGCCGGCCGCCCGCACCCCGCCCCGCCCGCCGUGUCUCGCGGCGCGGCGCGGUUCCCCCUCGCCCCGCAAGGCCCGGCCCGGUCCCGCCGAGCCGCUCCCGGAGGGCGAGGAGCUGCGGGACCGCGGCGGCGGGCGCUGGCGGCUGCAGCGGCUGCUGGAGCAGGGAGGCGGCUGCGGGCUGCUCUACGAAGCACAGUCAGCAUCUGGAACCUGCCCUCAAAAGCAAAGAUUCUCCCUCAAACUUGAUGUCAAAGACAGUAAAAUCUACAAUGAACAGAACUUUUUCCAGCGAGCUGCAAAGAAAGACAGAGUGGAGAAGUGGAAGAAGCUGCACUCUUUGCCCCUGCUGGGCAUCCCCAGCUGUCUUGGCUUUGGACUGCAUGCAGAUAAAUACAGGUUUUUGGUGUUCUCUGAUUUAGGGCGAUCUCUUCAGUCCAUUCUGAAUGACAACUUACACCUGAAUGAGAAGGCAGCUUUUCAGAUUGCAGUCCGGCUGCUGGAUUGCCUGGAGUACCUUCACGAAAAUGAGUAUGUGCAUGGGGACAUCACAGCUGACAACAUCUAUGUGAACCCAGCAGACCUCACGCAGGUGACCCUCGCAGGCUACUACUUUGCCUUCCGUUACUGCCCAGAAGGGAAGCAUGUGGCUAGGCGUGAAGGCAGCAGGACUCCUCAUGAGGGCACGAUAGAGUUUAUCAGCCAGGACAGCCACAGGGGAGCAGCACCAUCUCGACGGAGUGACUUGGAAUCUCUGGGCUACUGUCUUCUGAAAUGGCUCUGCAGCUUCUUGCCUUGGUCUAAGGAGCUGGACAAAGUAGAAACUGUGAUGGAAAAGAAAGAAAUGUACAAAAAUGAUGUGACAUGCCUUCUCCAACAGUGCUUCAGCAGGCAGAGGUCGAUUCCAGCUGCCCUUCAGAGCUACCUGCAGCAAGUAAUGGCACUGGAAUAUGAGGAGAAGCCGAACUAUGAGGCCCUGCGGCAGCUCUUCAAAAAACCACUGCAGAUGCUGAAAGCUUCAGCUUAUGACUCUGUGGAUAUCAUGGUAGUGCCCUAAGUCAAGAAAACUUGCACAGGACAACACAGUUCAGAGCUUUAUGCAGUGUGAAGCUUUUCCAAAAGAUGGCCCUCUCCCACCUGCUUGUGGUAUGGAUGUAAAUAGCCUCCAUCCCCCAGCUCAGCAGAGGUGAACGGACACCAGCCAUAAAAGCAACACAGAGAGCCAUUCAUAGAUGUAAAAACAAAUUUUAUAUUAAAACGAACAAACAAACAAACA